CUCACACACCGGCAUCCUGUUUAACCUGCUCGUGUUGGAGCUUUACCACAGUACAGACCCCAUGCAAACAAACUGGGCUAACAAACGCAUCAGCCAGCCUCCUUCAAAAUGCAGCCUGACUAUGAUUCAUGGCCAAAAGCUAUAAUAACUCUGCCAUGUCCUGGAAGCUUUAAGAUUCAUUGCGUUGAACUUGACACAUAUACUACAGCACCUUAAAAACGAAUCAUCUGCUAGUUCAGUAUUUUCCUCUUACAAUCACUCCCUCCCGGGGCAUGUAAUUAAUUUACUGCGCUUAAAAAAAAAAAAAAAAAAAAAGUCAGGAUUACUCACACAGUCUUGAAGAUGCAAUGUCAGCUAUUUAGGACAGAAACAUCCAAGGCCGUGCUAGAACUCAAUUACAACUACAUAUGCAUUAAAGCAGGAACUGGCAGGCCUCUGGGCUACAGCAACUAUAGGGCUUGUGCUUCCCCGACUGCCGGGCUAUAAUCUAUGAAACUGAGCCCAGAUCCAGCCAAUCAGUUCACUCCUCAUAACAAGUCUAACUGGCUCUGGAAAGCUGAAAGGGCUGCACUGGAGCAACGUAGAUGAGAUAUUCCACACAAUGAUCUGCUUAUCUAGAAUCACUUUGCCUGGAAAGACCAGAGAAAAAUCACUUUGUCUAAGGAAAGGACAGGUGAUCUGGCAAAACCACCACGGAACCUGGAGCAAGAUCCUCUGGCUUGGCAGUCCAGCGCUGCCGGCAUUAAAGGACCUGAGGCUCCCCAGAAACCAGAGGGCAACCACCACAGCAGCAAAACACCGAGGACUGGCGUGAAGAUUAUGAGCAAAUACAUGCCUACAACUGAGCCCAUUACAUGCGUCAAGAGUUCCGAAAAGAUUACACAACAAUAUGAAAAAUAAUGAUCCAUGGACCAGAAAUUUCCAAAGUGAAAACAUUCAAAUAUCGCCUUUAUUUGUAAGACUCAGACUCAGAAAGCAAAAUAAAGUUAUUUGUUUGUUUUAUAGCGCAAA